UCCCCCACCCAGUGUGCUCCCCAGCAGACCCGGAAGUGGACCAGAAGUACUUCCGGUCCACUUCUGGGUUUGCUGCUGAGCAUGCUGGAGAGCCCCCCCAUGCUGCUGUGGGAUGCUCCAUCUGCCCCAGCACCUCACCGAUCACAAGCCAUGCUGCUACCUCAAGCACGGCACUAGGAACCUCUUGGCUUUCCUGCUGCCAGCCAUGGAACCACCAUUGCCAGCUCACUGGAUGCAGAUUUGUUUGUUCCAGGGACAUCAAGCAGGAAGUAACAAGGGUAGCUAUCCUCCACAAUGACACACUUAGAUUUCAACGAACAAUUGGAUGCGGACAGGAUAUCGUUCUGAGACUUCUAUGCUGACCAGCUCAUCUUCUCUCUGGAAGGCAAGGAGAUAAUUGAGGCUAACCAGGGCUCUGUUAUUGAUUGUCAUGGGCUCACAAUCUUCUGAAAUAUUUUGCUAUCUUGUAUCCUCAGUCAAACCCUUUAAAGAGACUAAGCAGUAAUUUUCAAAGGGAGUGCUCUUGCACAUUAACAUGUUGCAAGAGCAGCAGAAGUUGUGUUGCAAAAGAUGGGAUGGAUCAUGUCCUGGCUGCAUACGACCCAUAUGGAGGGAUUCAUCCCAUGAACCGGUUCUGGACCACGGACUAAUAAGUGAAGUGUGCCAUCAAUUUUACUCCAGAAAAAAGUGGGCCCUAGAUAUCAACAGUUUGGGAUAUACUGGAUGAGAGGACUUCAGAGUCAUGAUUAUGAUUACUGCCCUACAGUAAAAAAAAUGCUGUUUAGUUUCUCUCAGUCAUACCUGACUGCCUUCAUUGAAGCUAAUUAUUACUACAAGUUUCAUUUGAGUUGAAUACAACCAUGGCACCACAUAUAUUAAUUCUCAGUAUUUAAUUCAUCCUCCAUCUGAAGAUUAGCACAGAGUUUUGAAGGAGCGAAUAUGUCAUUGUCUGUUCUCAUUGUACCUGUCAAGAACCUAAAUGGUGAUGUCCAAAUAUGUGCUGACUAUAAAUGUACAGUAAACAAAGCACUGCAGAAACAUCCAUAUCAAAUUUUAGCUUUAAACUUGCUCCUUGUUAAUUCUUCUGGAAGGAAGGUUUUUGCUAACGUGGACUUGGCACAAGCUUAUUGACAACUCCUUGUGAAUGCCGUUGAAUGCAUCCAUGAUCAUUAUCCACUAAGCAUUCUGAGCAAAGAGCAAAGCACCCAUAGCUGGAGUCAUAACUGCACAAGGAAUUUUCCAAAUAUGUAUGGAAAAGUUACUCAGAGACCUAAAGGGAGUAAUGCCAUAUUUUGAUGAAAUUCUUAUUAGAGCAGAGUCCAUGCAGUUAAGUAACUGUUCAAAUGUAAGAAGUUUUAUGCCACAUCAUCAAUGCUGCCUAAGACUCAAGAAAGAGAAGUGCUGAGUUCCUGAGUUUCCAAGUUGAUGUAAAUAGAAUUUCGCCAGUGAAUGCAAAAGUAUGUGUAAUUCAUGGAGCUCCAAUGGCCAAGAACAAGAAAAAACUGCAAACAUUCCUGGGUUUCUUUAACUUUAACCACUGCUUCUUCUAGUGGUGAUGUAAACCUUUCGGAGCAAGCACUGGUGCACCCCCUGACAGCCAGCAUCCCCUACCUAGGUGACAGGUGUGUGUGUGUGGGGGGGGGGGGCAGACAAGAGCACUGGUGCCCAGCCUGAGUGCAGUGGCUGGGGAAGGGGGGCACCAGGAGAAAUGAUCCCCAUGGUCCCCCCAUGGCCAAUCAUGAGACCGUAGUAGGCAUGGAACCCCCCCCCCCAAACAAUUGGGUGCUGGGGGACUCCCCUGGUUGGCAUGACUGGCUAUGGGAGGACCCCCCCCCCCAGUCAGAAUAAUUGGCUGCAGGGGGACCCUCCCCCCCGAUCACUGACUGGCAGCUAGGGGUGCAAGUGCUUCUUAUACUGACUUCUUACAAGACAAGGCCACAGUUACUGAGCUUUUACAUUGCCUAAUUGGACCAGGAUGCAACAUGGAAAUGGACUAUAUUUCACAAAGCUUUGUGAUUCAUCCAACAGCAUAUUAAUCCAUUUUGACAUGGAGAAGCCACUGCUACUUAUUUGAGAGAUUUAACCAUAUGAAACUGAAGCUGUCCCAAGUCAUCUGUAGAAUGAUGGACAUAAAACUCAAAUUGCUUCUAUACAUCAACUGAGAUUUCAACCAAGAAGAAUAAUAUCCAAGUUGACAAGGGGGCCCUUGAAAUUGUUUCUGGGGUAAAAAAAAAAAAAAAAAAAAAAAAAAAAGCACAACUAUUUAUGUGUCUUAAAAUUCCUGAUUAUGAUGCACCACAAGCCACUACUGAGAUUAUUCACCUAAAAUAAACCAACACCCUCAAAUCAUUUCAUCAUGUAUGGGCGAUUGUUCCUUACUCAACAACAAACAUAACUAUGAAAUUCCACAUCAGUCUGGAAAAGAAGCAGCCAAUGCAGAUGCAUUGAGCUAAUUGCUAUUAACUAGUUGUGAGUUGACUAUUCCUCCAGCAUGUGAAGUUCUAAUAUCAUCUUUCCAGGCAGAUGACACUGCUGACAUGACUACCAAGGAUCCAGGGUUAGCUCAAGUUCUGAACUGGGUAUAGAAGGGGAGGCCUUCAGCUUUUAGAAACAUAAAGGUUAAAGAAAAAAUGGGCUAGUUAUGAAGCUGUCCACUAGAAAGUUUCUAAAUAUGUAUUAUUCUUCUAUUAAACAUAAGUUGGUUGGGUCCUAAGAUCAUGCCUGUCAGCUGCACUGAUGUGAAUGGAAAUGCACUGAUUUAAAAACAGGAGAGAGUUUGGUGUAAGCCAUCAAUAUUGACCCUGAACCAGAGAUGCCAAAAGUCAAAUUAUACAUUAUGAAUUUACAAUUUACUUCUCUGUAAUAUGACAUGCUGUAGUACAAUAGAGGAUGUAUUUGUAUUUAUGCUUUUGUCUUCUGGUACUUUAUCUGUCAAAUUCUCAUGUAAAAACUUUAUUUCCCCUUUGAGUUCAUAGAGGCCACAAGCAUGAAAUUGCAAUUUACAUGUUAAUAGAGGUCUGCUUCAAGCAAUAUAUGACCUAGAACAACUAGCCAUAAAUGCAACAACAUAAUAAUGGAUAUGUUUAUGAACAGUUCAUGUAUCCCAAUGACCAUUUAAUGAAAAAAAAAAAUACAGUUUUUGCAAGGGGGGGUGAAUAAGAGAGAUAUACAAGUAAAAUAAGGAUAAACAUUACUUUCUAGACAAAACUGCAGUGUAUCUCUUGUCUUCCUGUUAUAUGUUAAUAUUUACAAAGCACCUCAAGUCAGUGUACACACACUUCAGUCAUUAGGAAUAUAAAGAUAUACUCAUAGAACCAUAA